GUAGGUGAACCUGCGGAAGGAUCAUUAUCGAGUUACUGUUUGCUAUUUUAGUGAAUAACUCCCAUCCUAUUGUUUACUACAAUUUGUUCAUCUUUGGCGAAGCGUUUUAGUUUUGCUAAGCCGCUGACAGUGAAAGCUGUGAGUGAGUCUUCGCCAAAGUUUUUUAAACUCUUUACUCUAAAAUGGUUGUCUGAGUUCAAAAAUACAAUAAAUUAAAACUUUCAACAACGGAUCUCUUGGUUCUG
rnacentral:misc_RNA from 1 species